rnacentral:tRNA from 1 species
GUCGGGAUAGCUCCGCUGGUAG